rnacentral:rRNA from 1 species
GUAGUUGGCGGGGUAACGGCCCACCAAGCCUGCGAUCAGUAACUGGUGUGAGAGCACGACCAGUCACACGGGCACUGAGACACGGGCCCGACUCCUACGGGAGGCAGCAGUAAGGAAUAUUGGGCAAUGGACGCAAGUCUGACCCAGCCAUGCCGCGUGGAGGAUGAAGGUCCUCUGGAUUGUAAACUUCUUUUCUCUGGGGCGAAAAACAGGUAUUCUUACUUGCUUGACAGUACCAGAGGAAUAAGCACCGGCUAACUCCGUGCCAGCAGCCGCGGUAAUACGGAGGGUGCAAGCGUUAUCCGGAUUCACUGGGUUUAAAGGGUGCGUAGGUGGGCAGGUAAGUCAGCGGUGAAAUCCCCGAGCUUAACUUGGGAACUGCCAUUGAUACUAUCUGUCUUGAAUACCUUGGAGGUGAGCGGAAUAUGUCAUGUAGCGGUGAAAUGCUUAGAUAUGACAUAGAACACCAAUUGCGAAGGCAGCUCACUACACGGUCAUUGACACUGAGGCACGAAAGCGUGGGGAUCAAACAGGAUUAGAUACCCUGGUAGUCCACGCCCUAAACGAUGGGUACUCGACAUCAGCGAUACACUGUUGGUGUCUGAGCGAAAGCAUUAAGUAUCCCACCUGGGAAGUACGACCGCAAGGUUGAAACUCAAAGGAAUUGACG